AUUGAACGCUGGCGGCAGGCCUAACACAUGCAAGUCGAGCGGAUGAAGGGAGCUUGCUCCUGGAUUCAGCGGCGGACGGGUGAGUAAUGCCUAGGAAUCUGCCUGGUAGUGGGGGAUAACGUCCGGAAACGGGCGCUAAUACCGCAUACGUCCUGAGGGAGAAAGUGGGGGAUCUUCGGACCUCACGCUAUCAGAUGAGCCUAGGUCGGAUUAGCUAGUUGGUGGGGUAGAGGCCUACCAAGGCGACGAUCCGUAACUGGUCCGAGAGGAUGAUCAGUCACACUGGAACUGAGACACGGUCCAGACUCCUACGGGAGGCAGCAGUGGGGAAUAUUGGACAAUGGGCGAAAGCCUGAUCCAGCCAUGCCGCGUGUGUGAAGAAGGUCUUCGGAUUGUAAAGCACUUUAAGUUGGGAGGAAGGGCAGUAAGUUAAUACCUUGCUGUUUUGACGUUACCAACAGAAUAAGCACCGGCUAACUUCGUG
rnacentral:rRNA from 1 species